rnacentral:rRNA from 1 species
UACAGAGGUCUCGAGCGUUGUUCGGAUUCAUUGGGCGUAAAGGGCGCGUAGGCGGCGGGGUAAGUCUGGUGUGAAAUCUCGGAGCUCAACUCCGAAAUUGCACUGGAUACUGCUCUGCUAGAGGGCUGGAGAGGAGAUCGGAAUUCACGGUGUAGCAGUGAAAUGCGUAGAUAUCGUAAGGAAGACCAGUGGCGAAGGCGGGUCUCUGGACAGUUCCUGACGCUGAAGCACGAAGGCCAGGGGAGCAAACGGG